CUUAAGUUCAGUAUAUAUUGUUUCGUUCUAGUGUUGCUAAUGCAAUGCGUAGUUGUUGAGCUUUUUUGUCAUUUUUUAAUGUUGUUCUGAUAUGCACAAUGCAAUGCUAUUUGGGUUAUAGAUUAUUAACAUUGAAAUCUCAGCUUAUCAGAAAUGAAUGAGGUGUAUUCAUUUUAUGUGUA